rnacentral:lncRNA from 1 species
GCUGUGCCCGCGACUUCCCGCGGGCACCCCGAGGCCCCUCGCAAAGUCUCGCCCCAUUCCGAGUCCGGCGGACGAAUUUCGCCCGCGCCCCCCACCAAGGCUAUAGCCCACCCGUUUUUUGGCCAUUUUUCCGCUGGCGGGUUUUGGCACCACGACCUUCGGGCGCUUAUUUUUGGACGCGGCUGUGCCCGCGACUUCCUGGGGGCACCCCGAGGCCCCUCGCAAAGUCUCGCCCCAUUCCGAGUCCGGCGGACGAACUUCGCCCGCGCCCCCCACCAAGGCUAUAGCCCACCCGUUUUUUGGCCAUUUUUCCGCUGGGGGGUUUUGGCACCACGACCUUCGGGCGCUUAUUUUUGGACGCGGCUGUGCCCGCAACUUCCCGCGGGCACCCCGAGUCCCCUCGCAAAGUCUCGCCCCAUUCCGAGUCCGGCGGACGAACUUCGCCCGCGCCCCCCACCAAGGCUAUAGCCCACCCGUUUUUUGGCCAUUUUUCCGCUGGGGGGUUUUCGCACCACGACCUUCGGGCGCGGCUUUGCCCGCGGCUUAUUUUUGGCACCCCGAGGCCCCUCGCAAAGUCCCGCCCCAUUCCGAGUCCGGCGGACGAACUUCGCCCGCGCCCCCCACCAAGGCUAUAGCCCACCCGUUUUUUGGCCAUUUUUCCGCUGGGGGGUUUUCGCACCACGACCUUCGGGCGCUUAUUUUUGGGCGCGGCUUUGCCCGCGGCUUAUUUUUGGCACCCCGAGGCCCCUCGCAAAGUCUCGCCCCAUUCCAAGUCCGGCGGACGAACUUCGCCCGCGCCCCCCACCAAGGCUAUAGCCCACCCGUUUUUUGGCCAUUUUUCCGAUGGGGGGUUU